GCAAUGAAAAUCACACCACCCAAGCCCUUUGGUCUCUGCCCCAGUACCCAGCUUCCAGCCCUCACUUGGCUUUGCUCGGGGCUCUUGGGUACGGACUGGAGUCAGCAUGGCUGAAGCAGGUUUUGCAGGUACGUGUAGUCCUUACCCUGCAUCAAGGAAACUUCUCUUUGCAACAGAUGGAGAAACGCAGAGUUGUGGGUCCCCCGUCCCAACGGAUUCAUUUAUGAACCUGGCACCUAGGGCUCAGGAGUCACUGUAGAAGAGGCGGGGCCAGAAAGGUGGAAAGAUCUAGAGGCCCAGGGAGUUGCUGUGCGACUGUCUCCCAAGAAUGUCAGCAGCUACACCCGUAAAGUCUCACUAGCAUGACUGCCCAACCGGGAAGGAGCCGGACAAGGACAAGGGACUUGGGAACGCAGAUGGAGAGGAAGUCCCCAGAGGCCUAAACCCCACACAGAAAGAACCGCAGGUGCUUUUUAAAGGCGCUCUAGCAUACAUACACAAGGCAAGACAAAAGAGAUACAAGGCAGACCCCAGCAUCUUGGCUGCAAUCCUCCCUCGUCCUCCAGGGAAACUGACUGUGCCCUGUGUUCUUUGCUCUUGUGUAUAGGACUUGGUAGAGUUAGGACGUAGCUGUGUUCAACGGCUCCCUUCCAGGGGGAUUCUCUGCACAGGUAUUGGGUGGGACAGGUGUCCCCUUUUCCAAGUGAGGGCCUGGGCAGUCCCCCACAAUCCUGCUCUGACUGGGGGGGCUGGGUUCCAGGGUCACUUGACGUUAUAAGCACAGCCCCAUUUGGACAGUAGAAUUCCUGGUCCCUUCUGGGAACCAAGCAGAGAGCCUGCAGGGGAUAAACAACCCCCUACCUCAGGGAACCGCUGCCCCACACCACCUCUUGUGAGAAGGGCUGCUGUUUCCUCAGCUCUGAGGCCUGGCUCUCAGAAGCCUUCUCUUCCCUUUCCUGCUUUCUCUUCCUCUUCCCCUCCUCACCUACGCUCCUUCUGCCACCUCUCUCUGAAUCUAUUCUUCCUCUGGUCUACAUUGUAGCCCCUGCAUGGCCUACCCCACAUGGCCACAUGGGAUGUGGGAUCCUCCAUAACCAGCCCUGGCUUGGGGAGAUGCAGCAGGUCCCAGUGCCUUGGUUUGGCCCCCGAGCCCAUCUGUACCUGGAUGUGAGAGCAGCCUCCCAUCGCCACCCAGAGGCACAGGCCCACACCCCCAACCUCACCUCUCACCGCUCCUGCAUCCUGGGGUGGGACUGGGGAGCAGGGCAGAUGGACACGACAUGGGGAUGGACGGGACAGCUCUUUACAGCCUGAGACCACUUAUACUUUCUUUGGAAAAUCCAUACAUGCUCUGUUUGCAACCCUCCAUGGCUGUCUCAGGGAUACAUGAUCUCAGCGUUUCCUUCAAAGCGGCCUUCAGGGCGGCACAUGCUGUACCUAGAGCCCCGAGACCCCUUAAAGCCCAUCCCGCAAGCUUCUCCCAGGCUGGGCUUGCUUCUGAGCCUCCCCGCACCGGGCCUCUCCUGUGGGGCUCUCUCCCCACUGCUCCCUCUUCGCAGGCCUCUCUUGGUGAGACCGUGCCCCCCCCCCAGCCUGCUUCACACUCCCCGAUGUCCCUCUACUGAUGGUUUAGUCACUGUGGUCCAUUUGUUAUGGCCAGUGAACCCAUGUUGGUGUAUUUUUAACGGGAGCCCAAGUCUUACUCAGAUUCCCUAGUCUUUCUCUGGCGUCUGCUGUCUGUUCUAGGAUUCUAACCAGGACCCCAGUGACCACGCAUCACCCAGUGCAUCAGGCUCCUCUUCCCCCUUGCUUUCGAUGACCCCAACAGUUUGGAGGACUGUUGCUCAGUGGGAGGGCUGGGGUGUCGACGAUGACCCUCCUUUUGGACUUCUCUGAUGUUUUUGUUGUGAUUAAACUGGUUUGUGGUUUUAGGAAGAUCAUUGGGCAAAAUGCGACUCUCCCUGCACCAAAUCAAGGGCAGAUGUUGUCCACAGGCCCUGGUCUUAGUCACCUAUUGAGGCCCUGCCUUACGAUUUCUUCCCUCCAUUAGGCUCCUGGGGAGGAGGACAUGGGCUCAGAGGAUAUGCAGAGGCCAUCGGGAUGUCUUCUGCGCGGGAAGCUCUUCUUGCCUUCCUUGUUUAUUUACUUAUUUAUCUAAUCACUGGUUUAUAUUGUGGUAGAUUCAUAGAUAUUAAUUUUAUGCUUUAGAUUAAAAUCUGUGAGUGUA